rnacentral:rRNA from 1 species
AUUGAACGCUGGCGGCAGGCCUAACACAUGCAAGUCGAACGGUAACAGGAAGCAGCUUGCUGCUUCGCUGACGAGUGGCGGCCGGGUGAGUAAUGUCUGGGAAACUGCCUGAUGGAGGGGGAUAACUACUGGAAACGGUAGCUAAUACCGCAUAACGUCGCAAGACCAAAGAGGGGGACCUUAGAGCCUCUUGCCAUCGGAUGUGCCCAGAUGGGAUUAGCUAGUAGGUGGGGUAACGGCUCACCUAGGCGACGAUCCCUAGCUGGUCUGAGAGGAUGACCAGCCACACUGGAACUGAGACACGGUCCAGACUCCUACGGGAGGCAGCAGUGGGGAAUAUUGCACAAUGGGCGCAAGCCUGAUGCAGCCAUGCCGCGUGGAUGAAGAAGGCCUUCGGGUUGUAAAGUACUUUCAGCGGGGAGGAAGGGAGUAAAGUUAAUACCUUUGCUCAUUGACGUUACCCGAAGAAGAAGCACCGGCUAACUCCGUG